rnacentral:rRNA from 1 species
UUUCCGGUUGAUCCUGCCGGAGUUACUGCUAUCGGGGUCCGAUUAAGCCAUGCGAGUUGAGAGGGGUAAGCCCUCGGCAUACUGCUCAGUAACACGCGGACAACCUGCCCUUGGGUCUGGGAUAACCCCGGGAAACUGGGACUAAUACCGGAUAGAUCAGAGAUACUGGAAUGUUCUCUGGUCCAAAACUCCGGUGCCCAAGGAUGGGUCUGCGGCCUAUCAGGUAGUAGUGGGUGUAACGUACCUACUAGCCAGCGACGGGUAAGGGUUGUGAGAGCAAGAUCCCUGAGAUGGAUUCUGAGACAUGAAUCCAGGCCCUACGGGGUGCAGCAGGCGCGAAAACUUUACACUGCGGGAAACCGCGAUAAGGGGACCCCGAGUGCCAGCACCUAGUGCUGGCUGUCCUACUGUCUAAAUAACAGUGGUUAGCAAAGGGCCGGGCAAGACCGGUUCCAGCCCGCCGCGGUAACACCGGCGGGCCCGAGUGGUAACGUCAUUAUUGGGUUUAAAGGGUCCGUAGCCGGCUUAUUAAGUCUUUUGGGAAAUCUGGCGACUCAAUCGUCAGGCGUCCAAGAGAUACUGGUAGGCUUGGGACCGGGAGAGGUGGGAGGUACUCCAGGGGUAGGGGUGAAAUCUCGUAAUCCUUGGGGGGCCACCGAUGGCGAAGGCAUUCCCGCCAGAACGGGUCCGACGGUGAGGGACGAAAGCUGGGGGCACGAACCGGAUUAGAUACCCGGGUAGUCCCAGCUGUAAACGAUGCAGGCUAGGUGUUUUGGCGGCCACGGGCCGCUCUAGUGCCGCAGGGAAGCUGUUAAGCCUGCCGCCUGGGGAGUACGGUUCAAGGCUGAAACUUAAAGGAAUUGG